CCUAUAAUGUUUGAGUAUGUGGCUGAACUGGAAUUUUAAUCCAAGCUGAUGGAGUUCAAUGAGACUUAUUCCCAGGCAAACCUCCAUUCCAACAGGACAGAAUUUAUGAAGACAACCAACUUGCAUAAACAUACCCAAGACAUUAUGAUAAAAUGGUUCAAGGAACCCAUGAAGUGGAAGGAGUACAGGAAGAAGAACAGAGGAGUCUAAGCCAUGAAUGUGCAUCCUUCAUCUCAGAUGCCUGCACUGAUAUUCUAUACAGCCUCUAGAAAAAUGUUGAAGAAUGUGCUUGAUUCCUUUGAAAAGUUCCCAAAUUCUUGGGAAAGUUAUGUGAAAGAGAAGGGCCCAUGCUACUGCUAUGACUCAAUAUUCAAAGUUCAAAUUUUGA